rnacentral:rRNA from 1 species
CGGACGAGUGAGUAAUGUCUGGGAAACUGCCCGAUGGAGGGGGAUAACUACUGGAAACGGUAGCUAAUACCGCAUAACGUCGCAAGACCAAAGAGGGGACCUUCGGGCCUCUUGCCAUCGGAUGUGCCCAGAUGGGAUUAGCUAGUAGGUGGGGUAACGGCUCACCUAGGCGACGAUCCCUAGCUGGUCUGAGAGGAUGACCAGCCACACUGGAACUGAGACACGGUCCAG